rnacentral:misc_RNA from 1 species
GUUUCUUCUCCUAUCUGUCUGUCUCUUCCUCGUUCCUUACAUUACUUUUCCUCUCAACAAGCAUCAACGCAUUUCUCCCCUUCUUUUCCUCUUACUGUUUUUCUCUUCUUUUUUCUCUUUUAAUCCUUUUAUUCUUCAUAAAAAAAUUAUAAAAAAUUUUAAUUCCAAAUCUGGUUUUUGGAUCUAUCUCCUGUAUUUUAAGUUUUGUUUGCCGUUUUUGGUUUGUGGUUUCUGUUUCCAUUUGAUUUUCCUGGUCAAUGUAGCUUUAUUUUUGGUCCAGAUUAGGGCUUUGAUUCCUAAUUUGUGUGAUUGAAGAUUUCGGGUUCACUUUGCUAUCAAUUUUAAAGCAUGUGAUUCUAAAGAUCUCCUUUUUCUUUUCUUAAUCCUUUUGAUUGAAAAGGAGGAAGAAGCUCAAUUUUUUUUUUCCCUUUUGAAAUUA